rnacentral:lncRNA from 1 species
UUUGAGCUUCAGAAAUUUAGAAUACAGUCAAAUCCACUUAAAUGACUUUGAAAGGGUCGGCAAUGUGCAGCCACAGUGAUGGAAUCUGGGACAGUCUCUUCCUUCCACCUCUCUGUGACCUCUGGGAUUUUGGACACAGUUUGAUGCAUCUUCAAGGUAUGCACCUACUUUAGUCACUUUCCCAUCACGGGACAAGAUACCUGACAUCCACAACUUAAAGGUGGAGGGGUUUAUUUUGACUCAUGGUUUAAGUUCAUGGUCAGCCAGCUCCAAGCCAGAAAUGGCAUGGUGGAAGGGCCUGGCUGAAGAAAACCUGUCCACAUCACGAUGGCCAGGAAGAGAGAAAGAAGAAGCAGCUGAGGAGGGAGAAGCCCCCUUCCAGGACCCACCCCAGUGACCCCCUCUCCUGACCAGGAUCCACCUCCUAACAGCACAGUCAGCUAUGAUUCACCAGUGGAAUGUCAGAAAAUAAAAGAAGCAAUGGUUGCAGAAUGAGCAGACCCAGGGCAUCCAUACCUUGUAUGCAGCCUUCAUUGAUUCAUUAGUCAGGGAACUAGAUGGGUACCAAAGUGUCUUGACCAAUUUAGGCACUCAGUCUACAUUUGGAUUUAUGUAUUCAUGAAUGGAAAAAAAACCCCUGACUCUUUUAAGCCUAGAGCAGAAAAUAUUCCAAUACAGACCUUCUUACGUGGCGUACAAUCAGGAGACUCAAUUUAGUGCAAGUG